ACCAGACAUAGGCUUAGCGGCUGAAAAGCGGAACCCGAAACCGCCUGGUCUGGUGCUUUUUUUGUUUUCGGG
rnacentral:sRNA from 1 species